UACUUGCUGGGAACUACAGUCCUCAGAAUGCCUCCAUUCUGGGCAGAAAAUCAGCACAGAGGUGUGCGGCCUCAUAGCCUGCCUGAGAAGAGCCCACUCUGGUGGGUGUUUUUAACGAGUGACAGGAUUGCUGAGGGCUCUGGAGCUCAUCUUCCGAUGAUGCUAGAAGCUUCAGCUCCCUCGUGCAAUUCAGCCCUGCCAGAAGCCAGCGGACUCCCCUCCCCUUUGCUAACCAUUUUCACAGGAGGGGUGGGAACAGAAAAAGCCCAACUGCUCAGCAUAGCUUUACCCCUUCCUUCCUGUUAGCAAAGGGCAGGACAGCACCUCUGUUCCUUCCCCCAUUCCACAUCUGGCCUGGGAAGGGGCAGGAAGGUGAAGAGCCCCUGGAGUAGCAGAGGAUUCCACCCAACUUGAUUUCUGAGCUCCUCAGAAGUGAGUGCUGUGGAUUGAGAAGAUGAUGUAAAUUCAAGUAUGAACAAAUCUGCUGACAGCAUCAACACUGGAAAGAUAUCAAAUACAGUGGGGGACAGACGCAAACUGCAACUGGGCCAGGAGAGACUGUAACGGAGGCUCACACAUGAACUGAGAAUCGAUAGAAAUACAUGUCAAUACAUACACCUGGGAAGAGGAAAUAAAACACCAAAUGAGGAUAAUUUAUUUGGAAAUGGGGCCAGAUUCUCCAGUCUGCUAAGGCCACUUCGUGGCACAAAACAGACUUAAAGCAGCCUGAUAUGCCCUCAGAGAAUUCCCCUUUUGGGGGAAUUUUGGAAACAGUCUGCUGGGGUAGCCUCCUUCUGAGCCCACUGCCACCUCAAUCCACAGCAUAAGGAGAUUUAGGGGGCGCAGCAGUUCUAACCUGUGCAGCUGUAACUCCCAUUGGAACAGGUGGCUUCAGAUCAGACAAGCUCUUUGCUCAUCCCCAUUUCCACUCUGUCGAAGCAGAGCUCAGGUGCAAUGGAAACACUGAGCCCAGAGGAUGUUGGUGGCUGAAAACAGGUGCUUAGAAGAUGAAGCUUUCUCCUGCAGUAGGUCAUCAAGCUCACCAAGAAAGCCAAUGUAAGGGAAGAAGUGCCUGCUUUCCCAUGACAAGACAGCUUCCCAUGAAAGAAAUAGGAGCAGACCAAGACUGAGGUGAAUCAGCCAGUGUAGCUCCAUUCCAGUCAAUGGAGCUGUGCUAAUUUACAUCAACCAGGGAUCUGGCCCAGAAUCUGUUCCUUGCCUUUCUGAUUGCUCUAUUAUAAUGUUAAUAGUAUUAAUAGUAAUUUUGACAAAUUACAAACAACUAGAAAAGAAAAAGAAAAAGCACUAUCUUCAUUAAGAACACACGUACCCAGGGGUCCUAUAUAAAAGGAAAGGGAAAGGUUCUACACGUGGAUUCAACAUUAAAAAUAAAAACCUUCUUUUCUGAAGGUAGGUUUGAGUGAGAGGACGGGCGGGGGGGGGGGAGGGCGGAAGAGAAGAGAGGCAGAAUCAGAUUGCAAGGAGGAUGUCCCACUCCCUGUAGCCCACUGCAGUAAAUAUGUGAUCACCUGCUGACUUCAGAUCUGAGGGUGAAAACCAUAAGAGGUGGGUCAUGUGAGGGCAAAACACACAGCAAAACAGUGCUCAGAAAGUAAGCCUUGAAUGCAGGCAGGCCCUACUCACCAUCAGUAGCUUUAACCGGCACCACAUGUGUAUUUUGUUCCAAAUGACUAAUUUUAAUUUAUUUGUUAUGAAUAAUUAUAGUGCCUGCUGACACCCCCUCUUCCCCAUACACAACCCUAUCCCCAAACCGCAACAGUGUGUAAAAGUUUUCCAUUGCGUCUCCAUUAAACUGUAUUCUCUCUGCCUGCUGGUGAUAAUGCACUUCAGAUCAUUCAUUUGAUGCAAUAUAUUUUCCAGGAUAGGCUUUUUGUUUUUUCUCUUGGCUGCUCACCCUCUUCUGUAGUCAAUUUUGCUCAUUUCUCUUGUAGGCUGUCUCAGAGCAGAGAAAGGCUUUUAGUUUUAAGCAGUUCUCUUUUCAGCCUCCCCUUAUUGAAUUCCAACCUCCAUUUUUUUUUUAAACAUAGGAACAUCAUUUAUCUUGGACUUUAAGUUGCAGAGGCCUUCAAGGGGCUCCUUUUUUUCUUUCCCAGCUGCAUUUGUUGACACACAGUCAAUCUGUUUUUUGCCUUCCUUCCCCUUUUCCCCCCCAGCAGGCCAUAAAGUAUCGACAGCUGUGCCCUUUAUUAGCAUAGCCAUUCUAAACACAACAAGAGGGAAGAGACUAAAUAUAUUACAGCCAUUACCUCUGUCAAAAAGUGACAAUUUUAAAACAUUUCAGCUUUUCACUGGGAAAGCUAGCAGCACAAAAGAAAGUGCUAUAAUUUUAUUGUAAAUGCUUUUUAAAUAUGGGUCACUUGGCCAUAAUCAGGAGAAAGGAUGGAAAAGUUCAAAGCUUGAGAAUAGUUCAGGCUGAUAUCAGAAUUUUUUUUUAAAAGGCUUUUCUUUAAAAUAUGCAAAUUGGACAAAAUACAACAGUGAGAAGCAUGCAAACUAAGAUCUUGUUCCUGGAGGUUUUGUUUUCAGUACAGCUCUGUUCAUGUAUUUCCAUUUACGUAUAAGUGUGUUUUACAACUUGGAUGGGAAUUUUUCCUCCCCAAACAGGGUGUUAUGAAUGUUUGGACACAAAGAAAUAGAGGGGAAAACAGCCAGUCUUCUGUUUUCAAAAUAAUAAAGUAUUCUUUUUCCC